CCGAAGGAGACUCACUUUCCUGGGAGAGUGGAGCUUGGUGCUUGCCUGACACCCCCAGAUCUCUAUUUUGAGCUCUGGGAAGAAAUACCUGGCCUGUGUUCAGGGCCGAUCAUGAAGGCCAUGGGCCAGAAUAGAAUUUAAUAAUUAACUCUGCUUCUCAUUUUAGUCCUUUCUUUGGUUUCAUAGAAGCUGUGUCCAAAAGCUUGAGAAGAAUGUAUCACAGCUCCGUGUUAGAAACAAAAACAAAAAACAAGCCCUCUUUGUGUUCUGUGUACAACUGUUUCAAAAGGACCUCAUUUCUGGAGAUCUUUAUUAGAAGCUGAUGCUGGCCGAUGAUUAGAAGAAAAGCAGCUACUCAUAGAGUCCCUGGAAAAAGUACUGAGUGACAUCAGGAAAGACAGGAAAGGUGACAGGGAUAAUUGUGAUGAUACAAACUUUAUAGAAGUGUGAGAACUAUGCCUGGAAAAUAGUAGGCUGGAGUCAAGCUGCCAUAUUGUGACCUGCUCCGGGAGGUCCAUGUGGCGAGAUGUUGAGGGCAGACUCAGGCCAACAGCCCAUGAGGAACUGAAUCCUGCCAGCAGCCAUAUGAGGACACAUGUCCUGCCUCCUUCAAACCUUGAGAUGAUUGCAGCCCUGGCCAAUAUCUUGAUUGCAGACGACCAGCUAAGUCAUGCCUCAAUUCCUGACCCGCAGAAACUGAAUGAGCUCCAGGAAACCAUUGUCAAGAAAUGGAAACCUGAACUUUAAGGAAACACAUCUAAGAUUUCACCAUUUGGAAUGACAGGUUUUUGUUUUUUCUUCUAAUGGAUACUGUAUUAGUUAGUGUUCUACAGAGAAACAGAACAGGAUGUGUGUGUGUGCGGGGGGGCACGCGCACACGUCUGUGUGUGUAGAGAGAGAGAAAGAGAGAGAAGUAUUUUAAGGAACUGGCUCACACAGUUGUGGAGGCUUGAGUCCAAAAUCUGAUGGGGUAGGCCAACAGGCUGGAGACUCAGGGAAGAGUUGCAGUUUGAAUCCAAAGGCAGCCUGUGGGCAGAAUUCCUUCUUGCUGAGUGAACUACGUCUUUGUUCUGUUAAGGCCUUCAACUGAUUAGCUGAGGCCCAACCACAUUAUGGAAGAUAAUCUGCUUACUUAAAGUCCACCAAUUUAAACGUUAAUCUCCCUUCACAGCCUGCUGGGCCUUUGUGUCUUUGCUGGUUGUCUCUGGGCCUGGCCAGGGAGAGGCCCACAGGCUGCAGGAAGAGCCAUGCACAAUUUACACGGGAGCCUUUGAGUGGGGGCCUGACAGCUGCUGGAGUCAUAGUCCUCAUCCAGAUCAGGGUGGGGCUGACAGACAGGCAUUCCUGGCC